UCUACGGGAGGCAGCAGUGGGGAAUUUUGGGCAAUGGGGGCAACCCUGAUGCAGCGAUGCCGCGUGGAUGAAGAAGGCCUUCGGGUUGUAAAGUCCUUUAGCUGGGGAAGAAAGCUAUGUGUAGUAUCUGGCAUAUAGUGACGUA
rnacentral:rRNA from 1 species